rnacentral:rRNA from 1 species
CAUGCAAGUCGAACGAUGAACCUCCUUCGGGAGGGGAUUAGUGGCGAACGGGUGAGUAACACGUGGGCAAUCUGCCCUGCACUCUGGGACAAGCCCUGGAAACGGGGUCUAAUACCGGAUACGACACACGGAGGCAUCUCCUGUGUGUGGAAAGCUCCGGCGGUGCAGGAUGAGCCCGCGGCCUAUCAGCUUGUUGGUGAGGUAACGGCUCACCAAGGCGACGACGGGUAGCCGGCCUGAGAGGGCGACCGGCCACACUGGGACUGAGACACGGCCCAGACUCCUACGGGAGGCAGCAGUGGGGAAUAUUGCACAAUGGGCGCAAGCCUGAUGCAGCGACGCCGCGUGAGGGAUGACGGCCUUCGGGUUGUAAACCUCUUUCAGCAGGGAAGAAGCGCAAGUGACGGUACCUGCAGAAGAAGCGCCGGCUAACUACGUGCCAGCAGCCGCGGUAAUACGUAGGGCGCAAGCGUUGUCCGGAAUUAUUGGGCGUAAAGAGCUCGUAGGCGGCUUGUCGCGUCGGUUGUGAAAGCCCGGGGCUUAACCCCGGGUCUGCAGUCGAUACGGGCAGGCUAGAGUUCGGUAGGGGAGAUCGGAAUUCCUGGUGUAGCGGUGAAAUGCGCAGAUAUCAGGAGGAACACCGGUGGCGAAGGCGGAUCUCUGGGCCGAUACUGACGCUGAGGAGCGAAAGCGUGGGGAGCGAACAGGAUUAGAUACCCUGGUAGUCCACGCCGUAAACGGUGGGCACUAGGUGUGGGCCACAUUUCCACGUGGUCCGUGCCGCAGCUAACGCAUUAAGUGCCCCGCCUGGGGAGUACGGCCGCAAGGCUAAAACUCAAAGGAAUUGACGGGGG